CUGCCGAGCAUCUCUCUUGUCGUUCAUUUAAUAACAAACCAAGCGUAUUUUCUUCUAUUUUCACAUCCUCUGGGCUUUGGUUUGCUUGUAACUAUACGGCGCUUUGCCGAUCUUGAUCAGACUCUGCUCUCCGGCAAACUUCGGGCGCGGAAGCUAGCAACUCCCAGGAAGGUGCAGAUUGCUUUCUGCCUUAGAUGUUGGUGAGGUGAUUACAAUCUAGUAGAAUAGAUCGCCCGUUUGCUUUCCGGCCAGGGAAAGUAUUUAAAUUGUUGGCUGAAGAUAGUUGCUAAUAAAGCUAGGUAACACACCAUGACGUUCCCUUCUUUUUUUAACUAGGCGUUUCUUUUACACAUACACAUGCCAUCGUAUUCAUUUUAUGCCUUUUUUGCAUAUAGAUGGCGCAUGGUGAAGGGUCUGUUCCUUCCAAUGAACUAUCAAUUUGUCAGUUAGCUGAGCGGCAUCUAUAUGAGCCUAAUACUAGUGAAGAGGUCAACCUAGUGAUCAAACAGCAGGUGCUCGCACAUGCGGAUUUGACGCGCCAUCCUCGUGGUUGGAAUGUGGGGUCUACUCUUAGUGACUAUUCUUUUCAUCCACUAGCACCUUAUCCUAAACCUGAUCAUGAAGCCUACACCCUAGGGACCAGGAUGGUAGCAAAAGAUCUAGGUUGGGAUGGUCACACAGUCGAGUAUGUUCCGCAACCCAAAGGCUAUGUUGAGUGGGGCAUCUCUAUAUUUAAUAACUACUCGUUUUGUUUGAAAGGAGAAGCGGAGAACACCGAUUACAUAUAUGGGGCCAUUUAUUGCUCCCUCGGUGAAUAUGAAGUUUCAGAUUCGCUACUAAGGUCAUUACUAGAAAGAUGGGAUCCACAAACAAAUACUUUUCUUUUUUCAUCCGGUGAACGCACUGUGACUCUGCUUGACAUGCUUCUAAUGUCGGGUAUUCCUUCAGUUGGAGAUCCGUACGAAGAAUAUGUUCCCUCGAUAGAUGAUCUAGAACCUUCAAAGCUUAUGUUCUCAAAUUUCUUAUCUGGCCUUUUAGAAGAAUUCUACUGGCUUAGCCGCGAAAACGGGAGUGUGACUUUUCAAGUUUGGUGUGACCAUUUCCAUA